AGCGAACGCUGGCGGCAGGCUUAACACAUGCGAGUCGAGCGGGCACUUUCGGGUGUCCGCGGCGGACGGGUGCGUAACGCGUGGGAACGUGCCCUCUGGUUCGGAAUAACUCAGGGAAACUUGAGCUAAUACCGGAUACGCCCUUUUGGGGAAAGGCUUGCUGCCGGAGGAUCGGCCCGCGUCUGAUUAGCUAGUUGGUGAGGUAACGGCUCACCAAGGCGACGAUCAGUAGCUGGUCUGAGAGGAUGAUCAGCCACACUGGGACUGAGACACGGCCCAGACUCCUACGGGAGGCAGCAGUGGGGAAUAUUGGACAAUGGGCGCAAGCCUGAUCCAGCCAUGCCGCGUGAGUGAUGAAGGCCCUAGGGUUGUAAAGCUCUUUUAUCCGGGACGAUAAUGACGGUACCGGAGGAAUAAGCCCCGGCUAACUUCGUG
rnacentral:rRNA from 1 species